rnacentral:rRNA from 1 species
UGGGGAAUAUUGGACAAUGGGGGAAACCCUGAUCCAGCAACGCCGCGUGAAUGAAGAAGGCCUUCGGGUUGUAAAGUUCUUUUGUCGCAGAGCAAAGGUUAUGUGCUAAUACCACAUAAAUCUGAGAGUAUGCGAAGAAUAAGCACCGGCUAACUACGUGCCAGCAGCCGCGGUAAUACGUAGGGUGCGAGCGUUAAUCGGAAUUACUGGGCGUAAAGGGUGCGCAGGCGGUUAUGAAAGUUAGAAGUGAAAGUCCCGAGCUUAACUUGGGGAUUGCUUUUAAUACUGCAUAGCUAGAGUUAGUGAGAGGGGGGUAGAAUUCCAAGUGUAGCAGUGAAAUGCGUAGAUAUUUGGAGGAAUACCGAUGGCGAAGGCAGCCCCCUGGGAUAUAACUGACGCUCAGGCACGAAAGCGUGGGUAGCAAACAGG